rnacentral:ncRNA from 1 species
UAAAUUGAGCGCAGUGAUGAAUAUCCGCUGAAUUUAAGCAUAUGACUAAGCGGAAGGGAAGGAACUUGCGAAGAUUUCCCUAAUAACGGCAAGUGAACGGGAAAAAGCCCAGCUCUAAAUCCUUUUGGCCAUUGGCACUAAGGAGCUGUAACGUGUAGGUAUUUCUAUUACGCA